rfam:Triticum aestivum genome assembly, contig: Triticum_aestivum_CS42_TGACv1_scaffold_513586_6BS
GUAGUACUCUUCUGUCCUGAAAUACUUGUCAUCAAAAGGAAUAAAAUGGGAUGUAUCUAGAUAUAUUUUAGUUCUAGAUACAUCCUUUUUUGUGUUUUUUGAUGACAAGUAUUUUCGGACGGAGGGAGUAUUUU